rnacentral:rRNA from 1 species
CCUACGGGGAGCUGCAGUGGGGAAUAUUGCACAAUGGGGGAAACCCUGAUGCAGCGACGCAGCGUGAGUGAAGAAGUAUUUCGGUAUGUAAAGCUCUAUCAGCAGGGAAGAAACUGACGGUACCUGAUUAAGAAGCCACGGCUAACUACGUGCCAGCAGCAGCGGUAAUACGUAGGGGGCAAGCGUUAUCCGGAUUUACUGGGUGGAAAGGGAGCGUAGACGGCAGCACAAGUCUGGAGUGAAAUGCCGGGGCUUAACCCGGGAACUGCUUUGGGAACUGUGCAGCUAGAGUGCAGGAGAGGUAAGUGGAAUUCCUAGUGUAGCGGUGAAAUGCGUAGAUAUUAGGAGGAACACCAGUGGCGAAGGCAGCUUACUGGAGUGUAACUGACGUUGAGGCUCGAAAGCGUGGGGAGCAAACAGGAUUAGAUACCCGUGUAGUC